UGGGGAAUAUUGCACAAUGGGCGCAAGCCUGAUGCAGCCAUGCCGCGUGUAUGAAGAAGGCCUUCGGUUUGUAAAGUACUUUCAGCGGGGAGGAAGGGAGUAAAGCUAAUACCUUUGCUCAUUGACGUUACCCGCAGAAGAAGCACCGGCUAACUCUGUGCCAGCAGCCGCGGUAAUACGGAGGGUGCAAGCGUUAAUCGGAAUUACUGGGCGUAAAGCGAAUGCAGGCGGUUUGUUAAGUCAGAAGUGAAAUCCCCGGGAUCAACCUGGGAACUGCAGAUGAUACUGGAAGGCGGGAGUGUCGUAGAGGGGGGUAGAAUUCCAGGUGUAGCGGUGAAAUGCGUAGAGAGGAGGAGGAAUACCGGUGGCGAAGGCGGCCCGCUGGACGAAGACUGACGCUCAGGUGCGAAAGCGUGGGGAGCAAACAGG
rnacentral:rRNA from 1 species